AAGUCGUAACAAGGUUUCCAGUAGGUGGAACCUGCAGGAAGAUCCAAUUGGAAGAAUAUGCGAGGCUUCACAGCUCUUAUUCUCACCCUUUGUAUAUCAAACUUUGUUGCUUUGGCAGCGCCUUAGGGCCUGCCAGAGGACCGAAACCCUAGAAUCUCUGCCGUCUGAGUACUAUAUAAUAGUUAAAA
rnacentral:misc_RNA from 1 species